rnacentral:lncRNA from 1 species
UGAAACCCAUUUGUUCCCAAAUCCUCUCAACUCCUCUCUGAAACCCUAGCCCUUUUUCCACUGGUUUCCACCUUAUCUCACAGGAAACCAUGGCAUCUCUGGCCCUGGGUGGCCUGUACUCACCUCCACGUGCCCUUGUACUCCUUUUACUCGAAGUUCCAAAGACCAACCUUGAAUACCCUGGCUCAGAAUCCCUCCGAUUCAGGUUCCAUGGCCAUCUCCAGCUCAACUCCGGCGUAUCCUAGCUUUGCGAGAUUAUCUCCAACUCGGACCAGCCCUUUCCAGGCCUUUCUCAUUUUUCUAAGGUUUCUCUGAAACCCUAAGCCAUUUUCGAGGUUUUCUCAUUCUUCUCUAGAUCUACCUUAAAUCUUUGUAUUUCUGAGAUUUACAAAGUUAUUCUUACAUCUUUUUUGAUUUUUUCUUUCAAAACGUUUCGUCUUCUCGAACCUAGGUUUUACCUGAUUUUUUUAUUUGUCCUAAUGUGAUUUCUUACAUUAUUUUGCCUUACUGUAACUCCUAAAUAUUUCCACCAUGAUUUAUGUGUAUUUUCUUUACUGCAUUUUCCUCCUAUGAUUUCUAGUGAUUUCUUUUACUGUGUUUGCUUCCAUGAAAUGUUUGUGUUCUUUGGGUUUUCCUGAGUUUAUUUUGCCUGAUUUUCUAUGCUUCGUCUUUGCAUGUAAGCUGUGGGGGAAAAAACCCUAAAUUUUUUGGGCUUUCAACCAUUUGUGUAAGAUUGUUUUGAUUCUAGUGUUGUUUCCUGUCUGAUUUCGAAAACCCUACUCUAAAUUCGUCUCAUGUUCUCUAACUCUUUCUAAUCUUUGCAAUACCCUCUGAUUUCUCGCAUAGCUAUAAUCUUCUAUUUUGAUUGCAUGAUCACUCUAUGUGUUUAAUUUUAGCCUCUGCAUCUGUAAGCUUACGUAUCCUUUAUAGUCAGACCUUUUCCUCACAAAAUAACCCUAAUUUUUUGAGAUUGAUUUCGGACCACCAUUAUGUAAGCCUAUUUGAACUUUUCCUUGUUUAAGU